rnacentral:rRNA from 1 species
UUUUUUAUUAUUUUAAUUUUUUUACAUUCAUUUUUUUUAAGUAUUUUAGGAAUAAUAUUAAUAUAUUUACUGUAAAGUACUUAUAUAAAAGUUAUAUAUAAUUUGUUAGUACCUUUUGUAUCAGGGUUAGUUAAAUUUAUUAGUUAUUUUUUUUUCCCGAAAAAGAGAUAUCUAUAUUAAUUUUUUUUUUAUUGUUAAAUUAAUAUUAAUAAUUUUAUUAUGGUAGUUAUAUUCUAUUCGUUCUUUUAUUAUAUCUGGUUACUUAGGAUUUCAAUUCAAUUGAUAAUUAAUUUUAAUAUUUUAUUAAUUUUUAUUUAAUUAUAUAUAAUUUGGGAUAAUCUUUUUUAUUAUUUAAAAUUUUAAAUUUUUAAUUAUUUUUUAAUUUAAAAUCUUUUAUUAAGUUCUUAAUAGAUUAUAAUUUAUAUUUAUAAUUUUGUUUAUAUUUAUAUUUUUACUAAGUUAUUUUAAUUAAUUUUUUAUUAUAGUUAUUAAUGGUUAAAUUAGUAUAAUUUGUAAUUAUAAUAUAAUUAAUUCAACAAAUUUAAUCUUCAACUGUUUAUCAAAAACAUUUCUUUUAGAUUUAUAUUAAAGGUAAGUUCUGCCCUAUGAUUAAUUAAUUAAAUGGCUGCAGUAUUUUGACUGUGCAAAGGUAGCAUAAUCAUUAGUCAUUUAAUUGUUGACUUGUAUGAAUGGAUAAAUGAGGGAUUUAUUUUUUUUAUUUUAUUAUUAAAAUUUUAUUUUUAAGUAAAAAAGCUUAAUUAAUUUUUAGGGACGAAAAGACCCUACAGAACUUUAUUAUAUUUAUUAUUUUAAGUUUUUGGUUAAUUUUUAUUAAUAUUUUAUUUAUUUUUUUGUUGGGGUGACAAAUAAAUUUGAACUUUAUUUAAUUUUUUCAUUAAUUUAUGAUUUUUUUGAUCCUUUUUGGAGUAUAAGUUUAAGUUACCUUAGGGAUAACAGCGUAAUUUUAAUGGGGAGUUCAUAUUUAUAUUAAAGUUUGCGACCUCGAUGUUGAAUUAAGAUAAGUAUAAGGUGCAGGUUUUUUAUUACUAAGUCUGUUCGACUUUUAAAUUCUUACAUGAUUUGAGUUCAAACCGGUGUAAGCCAGGUUGGUUUCUAUCUUAAAAUUGUUUUUCUUUAUAGUACGAAAGGACCUAAAGGAUCAAUUUUAUUUGUUUUAAUUGAAUUUUAUU